rnacentral:rRNA from 1 species
GAGGUGAUCCAGCCAUGCCGCGUGUGUGAAGAAGGUUCUUCGGAUUGUAAAGCACUUUAAGUUGGGAGGAAGGGCAGUAAGUUAAUACCUUGCUGUUUUGACGUUACCGACAGAAUAAGCACCGGCUAAC